UCUGUCAGUGAUGUUCUUCUUUUUUACCUACAUUGUUUGACUUGAGAUAUGAGAAGAAAAAAAAACUUUUAACGCUGAGGCAGA